CUCGCCUUCAUCAGCUCUUUCUGCUUGGCUUUUGUGGAUUUUUGGGUUUAGUUUCUUUUAAUUACCUUCUUUAUUUCUGGAUCUAUGUCUCUGAAUUACCAGCCGCCUGCUUCCUGUACCUCCACCACUUCAGAAACAAAGCAGAGUUGCAGAAAGAGGAAAGUUUACCAUCUUCACGUGUAACUGAAGUGGAACUCUAGUGCCCUCUACUGGUGAAAAGCAUAGGAACAUGGUGGCUUCAUGUCUGAAGGAGCACUCCGGUCAUAUUUUUUGUAAAAGUUGCAACAACAGUCUCACUAGGUUGGACCCAGUAAGAGUUCCAUGUCAUUUUCAUACUGUCCCAAGUCUUGACUGCAUGGAGUUGAAUUACUGAAGAGGCACACACAAGAGAUCACAGUGGCAGUACUUUGAGUUGUAUGAAACAAUGUUGAGAAGGCUUUUUUCACAUUUCAGUUCUGAUACUGGUCCAAAAACAUGUGCACUGGAGCUUUGGCUAUCAUUGUGGUAUGUCUGAGUGAAGAAAUGACGAACAAGAACAUAAAGUGGCCUUAGCCUGAAUGACAAAAUUGUUGCUUUAAAGCGGCACAGGAAGUGCUUCUCUAAGAAGAGGUCGCUUGACAUGAGGGGGGGACACUGCCGAAAAGUCACGUAAGGACGGAAGAAAAACAUUUCCACGCGGUUGUUGUUCGACGCGAAGCUUGUGUAAAGGAUUCUAAGCACCCAGCUGGAAUGGGAACAGCCCUUACCGUGUUUUAUUUUGAAGUAAGACUGACGGACAAAAAAGUUGCAUUUUAUGUUCAAAGUAACGUUGAUGGCUG
ensembl:lncRNA